rnacentral:misc_RNA from 1 species
CUCUCAAGCAGCCUAAUAUUCACACUGGUUAGUAAGUUGUUGGCAGAUUAUUAAUUUAUUUUAAAUUUAGGACAAAAUCAGGUUUGCCAGAUAAUUGAUUAAGCACUCGCUUUUUCGUUUAGUACAUCAGUUACCCAUUCCGUGAGUUUUUUUCCUUCUUUUUGCGCUGACUUAACCCAUUGCGCUUUUAUUUUAGGGUUCACGCGACAAAUUAAUUUACUGGUUGCUUUGUCAUCUUCGUUUUUAAGUGCGUUUUGAUUGCCUAUGUUUGCAUGUUUCAUAAUCCAAUUACUCCAAAAAUAACAAUGGCUAGUACAGUGCCGAUCGCGCCAUAAGUGACGAUCUCUUUUAAUGCUUUUCGUGAUUUGUCUUUCAUCGAUGUAUCUCCGCAUCUGGUAAAGAGGGCGUAAGCCCC